rnacentral:rRNA from 1 species
UUCCGGUUGAUCCUGCCGGACCUGACUGCUAUCGGAUUGAUACUAAGCCAUGCGAGUCUUUGUAGUAAUACAAGGCAGACGGCUCAGUAACACGUAGUCAACCUACCCUAUGGACGAGAAUAAUCUCGGGAAACUGAGCAUAAUUCUCGAUAGAUCAUAAUGCCUGGAAUGGUUUAUGGUUAAAAUGAUUCGUCGCCAUAGGAUGGGACUGCGGCCUAUCAGCUUGUUGGUGAGGUAAUGGCCCACCAAGGCGAUUACAGGUACGGGCUCUGAGAGGAGAAGCCCGGAGAUGGGUACUGAGACACGGACCCAGGCCCUAUGGGGCGCAGCAGGCGAGAAAACUUUGCAAUGUGCGAAAGCACGACAAGGUUAAUCCGAGUGAUUUCUGCUAAAGAAAUCUUUUGCCAGUCGUAAAACCACUGGUGAAUAAGGGGUGGGCAAGUUCUGGUGUCAGCCGCCGCGGUAAAACCAGCACCUCAAGUGGUCAGGAUGAUUAUUGGGCCUAAAGCAUCCGUAGCCGGCUUUGUUAGUUUUCGGUUAAAUCCAUGUGCUCAACGCAUGGGCUGCCGAAAAUACUGCAUCGCUAGGGAGUGGGAGAGGUAGACGGUACUCAGUAGGAAGGGGUAAAAUCCUUUGAUCUAUUGAUGACCACCUGUGGCGAAGGCGGUCUACCAGAACACGUUCGACGGUGAGGGAUGAAAGCUGGGGGAGCAAACCGGAUUAGAUACCCGGGUAGUCCCAGCUGUAAACGAUGCAGACUCGAUGAUGCAUUGGCAUAAUAGCCAAUGCAGUGUCGCAGGGAAGCCGUUAAGUCUGCCGCCUGGGAAGUACGUACGCAAGUAUGAAACUUAAAGGAAUUGGCGGGGGAGCACCACAAGGGGUGAAGCCUGCGGUUCAAUUGGAGUCAACGCCGGGA